rnacentral:rRNA from 1 species
AUUGAACGCUGGCGGCAUGCCUUACACAUGCAAGUCGAACGGCAGCACGGAGCUUGCUCUGGUGGCGAGUGGCGAACGGGUGAGUAAUAUAUCGGAACGUACCCUAGAGUGGGGGAUAACGUAGCGAAAGUUACGCUAAUACCGCAUACGAUCUAAGGAUGAAAGUGGGGGAUCGCAAGACCUCAUGCUCGUGGAGCGGCCGAUAUCUGAUUAGCUAGUUGGUAGGGUAAAAGCCUACCAAGGCAUCGAUCAGUAGCUGGUCUGAGAGGACGACCAGCCACACUGGAACUGAGACACGGUCCAGACUCCUACGGGAGGCAGCAGUGGGGAAUUUUGGACAAUGGGCGAAAGCCUGAUCCAGCAAUGCCGCGUGAGUGAAGAAGGCCUUCGGGUUGUAAAGCUCUUUUGUCAGGGAAGAAACGGUGAGAGCUAAUAUCUCUUGCUAAUGACGGUACCUGAAGAAUAAGCACCGGCUAACUACGUGCCAGCAGCCGCGGUAAUACGUAGGGUGCAAGCGUUAAUCGGAAUUACUGGGCGUAAAGCGUGCGCAGGCGGUUUUGUAAGUCUGAUGUGAAAUCCCCGGGCUCAACCUGGGAAUUGCAUUGGAGACUGCAAGGCUAGAAUCUGGCAGAGGGGGGUAGAAUUCCACGUGUAGCAGUGAAAUGCGUAGAUAUGUGGAGGAACACCGAUGGCGAAGGCAGCCCCCUGGGUCAAGAUUGACGCUCAUGCACGAAAGCGUGGGGAGCAAACAGGAUUAGAUACCCUGGUAGUCCACGCCCUAAACGAUGUCUACUAGUUGUCGGGUCUUAAUUGACUUGGUAACGCAGCUAACGCGUGAAGUAGACCGCCUGGGGAGUACGGUCGCAAGAUUAAAACUCAAAGGAAUUGACGGGGACCCGCACAAGCGGUAGAUGAUGUGGAUUAAUUCGAUGCAACGCGAAAAACCUUACCUACCCUUGACAUGGCUGGAAUCCCCGAGAGAUUGGGGAGUGCUCGAAAGAGAACCAGUACACAGGUGCUGCAUGGCUGUCGUCAGCUCGUGUCGUGAGAUGUUGGGUUAAGUCCCGCAACGAGCGCAACCCUUGUCGUUAGUUGCUACGAAAGGGCACUCUAAUGAGACUGCCGGUGACAAACCGGAGGAAGGUGGGGAUGACGUCAAGUCCUCAUGGCCCUUAUGGGUAGGGCUUCACACGUCAUACAAUGGUACAUACAGAGCGCCGCCAACCCGCGAGGGGGAGCUAAUCGCAGAAAGUGUAUCGUAGUCCGGAUUGUAGUCUGCAACUCGACUGCAUGAAGUUGGAAUCGCUAGUAAUCGCGGAUCAGCAUGUCGCGGUGAAUACGUUCCCGGGUCU